GACGAAUAGGACAAGUGUUAUUCUUCGUGAUUGGGCGUAAAGGGUGCGUAGACGGUUUUUUUAAACUUUCUUAUAAAAUCCAUAUUUAUAAUUAUGGUAGUAAUUAACAGAUUAUUCUACUAGAGUCGCUCUGAAGUUAGUGGAACCUACAAAGUAUAUUUUACAUAUAUCGGAUAUUGAAGGGACCACCGAAAGUGUAGACAACUAACUAUGGGAGACUAACGUUGAGGCACGAAGGUUUGGGUAGCAAACAGG
rnacentral:rRNA from 1 species